rnacentral:rRNA from 1 species
GAUGAACGCUAGCUACAGGCUUAACACAUGCAAGUCGAGGGGCAGCGCAGUGUAGCAAUACAUGGGCGGCGACCGGCGCACGGGUGCGUAACGCGUAUCCAACCUUCCCGUUACUCAGGGAUAGCCUUCCGAAAGGGAGAUUAAUACCUGAUGGUGUUCAAAUUCCGCAUGUUAUUUGAACUAAAGAUUUAUCGGUAGCGGAUGGGGAUGCGUGAAAUUAGGUAGAUGGCGGGGUAACGGCCCACCAUGCCUACGAUGUCUAGGGGUUCUGAGAGGAAGGUCCCCACACUGGAACUGAGACACGGUCCAGACUCCUACGGGAGGCAGCAGUGAGGAAUAUUGGUCAAUGGCCGGAAGGCUGAACCAGCCAAGUAGCGUGAAGGAUGAAGGUUCUAUGGAUUGUAAACUUCUUUUAUACGGGAAUAAAACCUCCCACGUGUGGGAGCUUGUAUGUACCGUAUGAAUAAGCAUCGGCUAACUCCGUGCCAGCAGCCGCAGUAAGAC